GUUAACAAAAAGAAAGUAAAUUCACUAUCACGAAAGAAGGUGAGCUAAACAAAUAUACUCGUUUUUAAUACGUAGCAUAGUAUUAUUUAAAUAUAUGUUUAGGGGUGAUAGGCUUUCCAAGCUUUCUAAUAACUUGUUACAUACGAAAAGUAUUCAGUACCAAGACAUACUUAAAAAGUUAAGCUUUUAAGUUGAUAUAACAGGCAUUUUUUUAAUUUAAUUCAGUAUAAUAGCUAAUUAAUAAAGAAUUUAAUAUUAUUUAUGUGUUUUUAUAUUUAAUAGUAUGGCGCCGUGAGACUAAGUCUAUGGGUGAUAAUGUUAAUAUUAGUAUUUUUAAGAAGUGUGCUAAAGGAACUCGGCAAAUAACCGCUCAACUGUUUAUCAAAAACAUAGCUAUAUGAAUUAAUAUAUAGUUACUUCUGCUCAAUGACUAUUAAAUAGCCGCAGUACCCUGACUGUGCAAAGGUAGCAUAAUCAGUUGGCUUUUAAUUGGAGUCUGGUAUGAACGAACGUAUGGGUGGUAGCUGUCUUAGUAUAUUAAUUUGAAUUUAUUGAGCAAGUGCAAAUACUUGCGGGGUUAAAAAAGACGAGAAGACCCUAGAAACUUAAAUUAGUUUUUGUUGGGGCGACAGAAUUACAUUUAACUGAUUUUUAAAACAUGACAUUUAAUUGGAAGAAUAAGUUACUCUAGGGAUAACAGCAUAAUUUUAACAGUUUGUGACCUCGAUGUUGGACUAGGUAUUAUAUGCUUAAGGCAAGGAUAUAAAAUGCUCUGUUCGAGCAAAUUCACCUACAUGAUCUGAGUUCAGACCGG
rnacentral:rRNA from 1 species